CCAUACCCCUUUUUUUUGGUGAAAAAAUACUACCGUAUUAUAAAAAAUACUACGUCUGGCAACCCUGAGUUACUACGAAUUUCUUGCUUUUCAGUGUUGCCAACAAAUAUCGAAAGAAGAAGAAGAAUUUAAUUUUUAUUUCAAAGUUUAUGAAAAAAAAUAUUGAUAAAAGGUGGACUUAUUCACAAUGGCUUCUGAAAUUAUUAUACAAUAUAUUCAGAAGCUA